UGGAUAUUCGGUGUGUGAGCUUCAAGAGUAUCUAAGGGACGUGACAACGUGGUUGGGAAUAUACCAGAGACUACAAACUGUCUAUGCAUCCCAGAGGAACAGGAAGCUCGUGCAGGUGAAAAGACUGGAGGAGGAGGUAGUGCCAAAAUGUAUUAAAAGGAAGAGAUAAAGUUCAAUUAAAAGUACUGUAUUGGAGAGCCUCUCAAACUGCAUGAGACCCAAGCCUAGAACCCAGCAAAACUGUCUCUGCCUGUUCUUCUAUCACGAGACUAUCAAAGGAAUGGGAAAGCAGAAAAGUGGCCUGUUCUACAUAGACCUCUU